CCCUGGUUGAUCCUGCCAGUAGUUAUAUGCUUGUCUCAAAGAUUAAGCCAUGCAUGUCUCAGUGCAAGCCGUAUUAGGGCGAUACCGCGAAUGGCUCAAUAUAUCAGUUUUGGUUCCUUAGAUCUUACUCAGUUACUUGGAUAACUGUGGUAAUUCUAGAGCUAAUACAUGCAAUCAGAACUCUGACCAGUGAUGGGACGAGUGCUUUUAUUAGAUCAAAACCAAUCGACGGAGGGCCUCGCGUUCGAAGUCGUUAAUUUUGAUGAAUCUGGAUAACUUUUGCCGAUCGCACGGUCCAGCACCGGCGACGCAUCUUUCAAAUGUCUGCCUUAUCAACUUUCGAUGGUAGUUUCUGCGACUACCAUGGUUGUCACGGGUAACGGGGAAUCAGGGUUCGAUUCCGGAGAGGGAGCCUGAGAAACGGCUACCACAUCCAAGGAAGGCAGCAGGCGCGCAAAUUACCCACUCCCGGCACGGGGAGGUAGUGACGAAAAAUAACGAUACGGGACUCUUACGAGGCCUCGUAAUCGGAAUGAGUACACUUUAAAUAUUUUAACGAGGAACAAUUGGAGGGCAAGUCUGGUGCCAGCAGCCGCGGUAAUUCCAGCUCCAAUAGCGUAUACUAAAAUUGUUGCGGUUAAAAAGCUCGUAGUUGCAUUUGUGCGCCGCGCUGUCGGUGCACCGCAUCCGCGGUGAUACUGACACGUUUGCGGAGCAUAUCGUCGGUGAGCCGACGGUCAAACGUCGGUUCAAUAUCAAAAUCCUAUCGCGGUGCUCUUCAGUGAGUGUCGAGAUGGGCCGACAAUUUUACUUUGAACAAAUUAGAGUGCUCAAAGCGGGCUCAAAAUGCUGCUUGAAUAUUUCGUGCAUGGAAUAAUAGAAUAUGAUCUCGGUUCUAUUUUGUUGGUUUUCAGAACUCCGAGGUAAUGAUUAAUAGGGAUAACUGGGGGCAUUCGUAUUGCGACGUUAGAGGUGAAAUUCUUGGAUCGUCGCAAGACGAACAUCAGCGAAAGCAUUUGCCAAAGGUGUUUUCAUCAAUCAAGAACGAAAGUUAGAGGUUCGAAGGCGAUUAGAUACCGCCCUAGUUCUAACCGUAAAUAUGUCAUCUAGCGAUCCGCCGACGUUACUACAAUGGCUCGGCGGGCAGCUUUCGGGAAACCAAAGAUUUUGGACUCCGGGGGGAGUAUGGUUGCAAAGCUGAAACUUAAAGGAAUUGACGGAAGGGCACCACCAGGAGUGGAGCCUGCGGCUUAAUUUGACCCAACACGGGAAAUCUCACCAGGCCCGGACACCGGAAGGAUUGACAGAUUAACAGCUCUUUCUUGAUUCGGUGGGUGGUGGUGCAUGGCCGUUCUUAGUUGGUGGAGCGAUUUGUCUGGUUAAUUCCGGUAACGAACGAGACUCUAGCCUGCUAAAUAGGCGUCGUCAUUUAGGUGUGCGUGGCUCACGUCACGCAACUCACUGGCGACGUAUUAAAAUUCUUCUUAGAGGGACCGGCGGCUUCGAGCCGCACGAGAUUGAGCAAUAACAGGUCUGUGAUGCCCUUAGAUGUCCUGGGCCGCACGCGCGCUACACUGAAGGAAUCAGCAUGUUCUCCCAGGCCUAGAGGCCCGGGCAACCCGUUGAAACUCCUUCGUGCUGGGGAUUGGGGUUUGCAAUUAUCCCCCAUAAACGAGGAAUUCCUAGUAAGCGCGAGUCAUAAGCUCGCGUUGAUUACGUCCCUGCCCUUUGUACACACCGCCCGUCGCUACUACCGAUUGAAUGAUUUAGUGAGGUCUUCGGACCGACACGCGGUGGCUUCACGGCCGUCGGCGUUGCUGGGAAGUUGACCAAACUUGAUCAUUUAGAGGAAGUAAAAGU
rnacentral:rRNA from 1 species